ACGGUGGCGUACAUGCAGAGCUCUGAACGCACGUCUUUGGAUUACAGGUGUAGACGGCUCACCUCAGUCAAAUCUGGGCAGCAGCAGGCCUCAGACAUUCUCUGAAGGUUGGCCAUCACAAGAUUGGGUACCACAUCACUGAUUUCUUUAAGGAAAUUUAGUCUUCACUUGAACUCCUCCAGAACAUCACUCUUCCAGGUCAAAGUUCAAAUGGAUGCCACAUAUAUAUUAUUUGGGGUUCUCUGUAUUUCAUGUGCCUACUCAAGAAAAAUUGCCAUAGGAUUCCAAACCACGUUACCAUGUGACCUACAGGAUGUCAUUAUCGUCACCUGGUACCAACAGCGUCCUGGGGAGCAGCCUGUGACAAUACUGAGCCACAACAUUAAAUCAGUUCUUCCGCCAACUUACUAUAACGGAUUCAGCAGUGAACAAAUGAGCAUCAGCAACACAUCUCUGUUACUAGUAAUUGAAAACUCGGCGGAAGUUGAUUGUGUGGCUUAUUACUGUACAAAAAAAGAGAAUCAGGUGUUUGAGUUUGGAGCUCCAACCACUCCGGUAUGCCAAGAAAGCCAGAGAGUCAUGGAAGACGAUAAACAAGACUGCCGAGAAGAGUUUCGUACAUGGAAAUAUGCCAUAGUUCUGCUCCUAAUCCUCGUUUUCUUGUUCCUUGGAAUAUGCCUGAUACUUUGUGUGAAAAUGAAGAUGUCCAGCAAGUCCAUCGUUUAAAGUGCAUCUUCAGACUCGACUGAGAACGAUCAACAAGUUGUGGUGCCCCAACCUGGCAGCAUUCGCACUGUUUCUCUGCUGUGCUGUGACUUUUCUCAGAUGUAUAAUAGAGAAAUUUUGGAAAAAAUGUUCUUAGUCAUCGGUCAUCGAUUUUCAAUUCAUAGAAAUUCUAAUUGUGCUCUUGGCUCUGUUAACAGUUCAGCAUUAUUGUGGUGACAGCAAGUUGCUUGAUUUCUGACACGUGGCAGGCCAUCUUUCAAUGUUCUUGUCAGUUCUGUGUACAGGUUUUGGGACAAUACCUGUUUGUACCUGACUUUGAGUUCUUCACCUUCAUGUUGCAUCCAUGGUUUUGCACUUUGUUUGGACAAUAGAUUCUCUGAUUUUCAUUAUCAAUUAUUAUUAUCAAUGUAAUGAUUACAUCUUGCCUGAAGAAGGGGCCUGAGUUGCCUCGAAAGCUUGCAUAUUGUAAUCUUUUUAGUUAGCCAAUAAAAGGGGUCAUUUUGCUUGGCUUUUCUCUACAUUGAAAUGAUAUUAACCAAAGAAUGUCAAACUGGUAUAAUCCAGUUCAGAGGCUGCACUGCACUUAAAGCAGGCACUCGCUCAGCCACAACCACACAAGGCCAAUUGAGUGUCGCCAUUUAACCCAACACACACAUCUGUGGGAUGUGGGAGGAAACCAGAAGUGACAUGAGGAGAACAUACAGACCUGACAAAGACGACGACUGGGUGCUAAAUUCAAAGUUGUGAAGUUGAAUCCGCUUCUUUCAUUUUAAAGUUCAUUUCACCUGAAAGAAUAAUCUCCUUUAUUGCCUUAGCAGCUUCAGCUUGCUCCAUGAUGAUUUUCUUCAUGAACUGCACAUCUCUCACACUCAAUGGCUGUCUUGUUUGCUGGCCAGUAAAUCACUCAGCAGUCAGUCAAAACUUUUAUGACAAUUCAUUACAACCAUUUCAUCUUCAGGAAGUCCUUAUUUAAUUCUAUUUUAUUUUUAUUUUUCAUUCUGUGUAUCUCUGACCUGCAGGUCCAUCUCAAAUGAUUAGUAGGUCAGAAGAACAAAAGACUGGGAUUGAAGCAGGAGAAUGAGGAUUAGAGGUUUAUGUUUGAGCAAAGCAAAAGUCAGUUUGUUUGACAGUGUGACAGUGGAUUGAGUUUAUGUAAAAAUGUUGAACUUUGAAAAUAAAAAGUAUCAUUUUAAUGAAGCCAAUAGUGUGAAGAGUUCAUUAGAACUUGAAGGUGACCAGACAACUGAGACUCCUUCCAAAUGUCUGACUUGCCUGCUUUUCACUUGGUUGUCUGUUGUCAUCUUUUUGUGAUAUCAUGUUAAAUUCCCACAAAUUCUGUCCAAUAAGAUGAGCUCUUUACUUUUGACAGCAUACAUGUGAGUGUUGUCAGCGCAGCCCCUGAUAGGUUCUUGCUAAUUGUCUGUGUUGUGCCCCGCCCAUCCCAUUCCUCACUCGUGUUCUUUUCUCUCCUUUCUGACUUCUGUCCACUUACACUG